rnacentral:tmRNA from 3 species
GGGGAUGUUCAGGUUUCGACAGGAUCAGCUGCGCUUAAACGGCAAGUAGAUGGCAAUCUUAAAAUGCGUCAGUUAAAAUAACUGGAAACAAAUAUCAAAUGGCUUACGCUGCUUAGUUAGCAUAUAGUGUAAGGCUCUUUUAAAAACUUUACCUGUUGGUUUUUAUAAAGGGCUCGAUUUUAACAGGUUAUAUUAUCUCUUUGUUUCGGAGGGGUAAUGAAUUUUAGAAACUAGCUAAUAUAGUGUUUGUUGGCUAACUUCUAUAUUAGUGAAUUUGCUUAGUCAACUAAACUUGUAGAUGUUUUUGCCUCGCUGAUUUUGGACAGGAGUUCGAUUCUCCUCAUCUCCACCA